rnacentral:rRNA from 1 species
CUGACUCUGGGAUAAGCGCUGGAAACGGGGGCUAAUACUGGAUAUGUCCCGUCACCGCAUGGUGUGCGGGUGGAAAGAUUUUUCGGUUGGGGAUGGGCUCGCGGCCUAUCAGCUUGUUGGUGAGGUAAUGGCUCACCAAGGCGUCGACGGGUAGCCGGCCUGAGAGGGUGACCGGCCACACUGGGACUGAGACACGGCCCAGACUCCUACGGGAGGCAGCAGUGGGGAAUAUUGCACAAUGGGCGAAAGCCUGAUGCAGCAACGCCGCGUGAGGGAUGACGGCCUUCGGGUUGUAAACCUCUUUUAGCAGGGAAGAAGCGAAAGUGACGGUACCUGCAGAAAAAGCACCGGCUAACUACGUGCCAGCAGCCGCGGUAAUACGUAGGGUGCAAGCGUUAUCCGGAAUUAUUGGGCGUAAAGAGCUCGUAGGCGGUCUGUCGCGUCUGCUGUGAAAUCCCGAGGCUCAACCUCGGGCUUGCAGUGGGUACGGGCAGACUAGAGUGCGGUAGGGGAGAUUGGAAUUCCUGGUGUAGCGGUGGAAUGCGCAGAUAUCAGGAGGAACACCGAUGGCGAAGGCAGAUCUCUGGGCCGUAACUGACGCUGAGGAGCGAAAGGGUGGGGAGCAAACAGGCUUAGAUACCCUGGUAGUCCACCCCGUAAACGUUGGGAACUAGUUGUGGGGUCCUUUCCACGGAUUCCGUGACGCAGCUAACGCAUUAAGUUCCCCGCCUGGGGAGUACGGCCGCAAGGCUAAAACUCAAAGGAAUUGACGGGGACCCGCACAAGCGGCGGAGCAUGCGGAUUAAUUCGAUGCAACGCGAAGAACCUUACCAAGGCUUGACAUACACGAGAACGGGCCAGAAAUGGUCAACUCUUUGGACACUCGUGAACAGGUGGUGCAUGGUUGUCGUCAGCUCGUGUCGUGAGAUGUUGGGUUAAGUCCCGCAACGAGCGCAACCCUCGUUCUAUGUUGCCAGCACGUAAUGGUGGGAACUCAUGGGAUACUGCCGGGGUCAACUCGGAGGAAGGUGGGGAUGACGUCAAAUCAUCAUGCCCCUUAUGUCUUGGGCUUCACGCAUGCUACAAUGGCCGGUACAAUGGGCUGCGAUACCGUAAGUGUGGAGCGAAUCCCAAAAAGCCGGUCCCAGUUCGGAUUGAGGUCUGCAACUCGACCUCAUGAAGUCGGAGUCGCUAGUAAUCGCAGAUCAGCAACGCUGCGGGUGAAUACGGUCCCGGGUCUU